rnacentral:rRNA from 1 species
CGCACAAGCGGUGGAGCAUGUGGUUUAAUUCGAUGCAACGCGAAGAACCUUACCUACUCUUGACAUCCAGAGAACUUAGCAGAGAUGCUUUGGUGCCUUCGGGAACUCUGAGACAGGUGCUGCAUGGCUGUCGUCAGCUCGUGUUGUGAAAUGUUGGGUUAAGUCCCGCAACGAGCGCAACCCUUAUCCUUUGUUGCCAGCGGUUAGGCCGGGAACUCAAAGGAGACUGCCAGUGAUAAACUGGAGGAAGGUGGGGAUGACGUCAAGUCAUCAUGGCCCUUACGAGUAGGGCUACACACGUGCUACAAUGGCGCAUACAAAGAGAAGCGACCUCGCGAGAGCAAGCGGACCUCAUAAAGUGCGUCGUAGUCCGGAUUGGAGUCUGCAACUCGACUCCAUGAAGUCGGAAUCGCUAGUAAUCGUAGAUCAGAAUGCUACGGUGAAUACGUUCCCGGGCCUUGUACACACCGCCCGUCACACCAUGGGAGUGGGUUGCAAAAGAAGUAGGUAGCUUAACCUUCGGGAGGGCGCUUACCACUUUGUGAUUCAUGACUGGGGUGAAGUCGUAACAAGGUAACCGUAGGGGAACCUGCGGUUGGAUCACCUCCUUACCUUAAAGAA